ensembl:lncRNA
ACCCACUCCAGUAUUCUUGCCUGGAGAACCCCAUGGAUGGAGGAGUCUGGCGGGCUACAGUCCAUGGGGUCACAAAGUGUCUGACAUGAGUGAAUCAACUUGACACACACGCGUACAAACUACAUAAUGUGCUUAGCGUCGCACAGGGCGCAGGAUAAAUCAGUAAAGGAUAAUGAUGCAAAUGACAGGAAAGAAGACAAAAACGGGCAGGGUGAGGCCUGGGGUAGUGGGACACAGUCUUUCCAAAGAAGGACUACCGAGUGUAUCAUUCAAUUAAACAAGUAUUUGCCAAGCGUUUAGCAUAUGCUGGGCCGGAUCCCUGAAAUUGUAAAAGCAGGGAUAGGUCACGACAUUGAGCUAUUUGAAUCAGAACCAAGCUUGCCUGCUUCACAAAGAAUUGAACUAGGACAUCAAAAUAUUUCUGAAUGGAACUUGAGGAGAUAGAUGUUUUGUGGCUGCCCUCAGUCUCAUCUGGAUACUUCGGAGCCAGAAGUGAAGGGUUCACAGUAUCCCUUAACUGUCCCUGCAUCCUAUCUUUCCCCAUCUCCACCAAGGAAUAACGCAUUCUACCCCAAAACCAGAAUUACUCCAGCUCUAAACAGUGCUUCCCACCCUUGAUCUCAACCUGAAACAGCAGGUCUACAGUCCCUGCUCCCCUGCCAAGUCCUCAGCCUGCCUUUUUUCUGUGGAAAAACACUUUAGCCAAAGAAUACGUUUAAUCAGAGAAGUGAGAAAAUGCAGAAACAAAGAACAAAGGAGACCAAAUAGUAAUAAUGUAGUCAUGAAGCAUAUUCAAGGACCUUUUACUUCCUUCUUAAGAGCUAUAGAUAAGAUUCUGAGCCACAGCCUGUGAGCUGUCUGAUAGAUACUGAAGCCUCCACCAGGUGGAAGAAGUUGACUACACGAUGCCAUGACAGAAGUGGCCAUAAUUCCAAGAACUGGCCUCAAGAAAUGCAAACAAACUGACCUCAGAACUGAAGAUUAACUGUACCUAAAACACGUAAGAUGACACUGGUUGGACCGCCAAUGACCAAUCUGAAGAUGACUGUCAGAGCUGACUGCUGUUUCUGCAUGUAGCCCCCUCCCUCAGUCAAGAAAAACUCUGGCCCCUUAAGUGUCAGGGGAGCUGGGGAGUCAGCCUUUGGACAGGCAUUUGCUAAAACCCCUCUGCCUUCCAUUUCAGGCAUCCAAAAUAAAGCAAACUUUUCUUUCCACCCACCUAUAUAAUGAUUUCUGAGCAGCAAUCAGCCGGACCUGGGUUCAGUAACAAACUCACAAGAUGAAAAACAUUUUAACUUGCACCUGAGUAUACAAAUCUGAAGCUGAAACAAAAGUUCCAUAAACUGAGACUAAAAUGUGUAAUACAUUCUGAAUUUUUAAUUCUAUUCUAUUUAGUUUUUUAAAUACUGGUCACAAUCCUCCUAAACAGAUUUUAAGACAUUAAUGGGUCAUAACUAGCAGUUUGAAAAAACUGCUCUGAAAUGUCAUAUGAGGAGGGGACUUAAAGGUCAUCUAGUCCAAUCCUUUUACUUCCCAGAGGGUAAACUGAGACUCAGAAAGGUUAAAUUAAUUGCCCCAGGCCCCACAGCUGGUAAGUGGUAGAGCUUGGAUUUGAACCAAGAUUUGACUCGACUACUGAAUUCUUACCAUGUGUCAGCAACUGCGCUGAGUUCUUGAAGUGCAGUAUUUCAUUUAAUGCUCACUGUGAUCGUAUGAAACAGAUAUUACUAGUGCCACUUUACAGACGAGGAUCGAAGUCUCAGGAUGGGGAACGUGACUUACUCAGGCUGUUACAAAGUCAAUAACAGACCCGGGACUUGUUUCAGAUUCAGCCGUCCAUAAAGCCUGUGGUCUCCAACGCGAAGCCCACUGUGAGGAAAGUGACCAUGUAGGGUCGUGAGCUCUAAGCGCCUAAGUCUGCACAUGUGAGGCAGUGAUAACGUUGUGUUUCCUACUCUUCAGGGCCUUAUCACUGCCAUCACCAGCUCCUC